rnacentral:rRNA from 1 species
AUGCAGUGCCGCGCUCGGUACGGCAGCUCCGGCGAACUUGACGUGUUCGGAGCAACACGCUACUUCGACGGCCUAGCCGACCUUGCUGCCAGCCCGGUCACUGCCAGGCAGCCUGAACCUAAAGACAUGAUGAUCCAAGUGAAAGUUAUGCAUCACCAGAAGGAGGAAAGCUACCGCGGCACCCAGGAGCUGGGAGCCAGGACUAACAGCAACCUCACCGCCUUCCACGGCUCCUCCCUUGUGUCCCCGGCAGCGAGCUUUCACAAGAAUCCUCCGGCAAGCAUCUACGACAAGCCUCAUCACCAGGCCUCCUCGUUAUCCUCGCGUGGGAGCAGUGAUGUUGUCACAGCUGUUGCAGCUGCUUGCGGCCGUGAUUUGGGUGAGGUGGUGGGGGACAGGAGGCUGCAAGGCGUUCAGGUAGUGAGGAGGGCCUGUGACGGCGAGGAGAGGUGGGUGGUAAGAUGCGGCGGGUAUCCCUUGGAAGAGCAGCACCAUGCGUCCAUGAUGUUGAUGCGAAAUUAA